AGAGUUUGAUCCUGGCUCAGGAUGAACGCUAGCGGCAGGCCUAACACAUGCAAGUCGAGGGAGAGGUUACCUUCGGGUAACCAAAACCGGCGCACGGGUGCGUAACGCGUAUACAAUCUGCCUUUCACAUAGGGAUAGCCCGAAGAAAUUUGGAUUAAUACCUAAUGGUAUAUAGGAGCGGCAUCGUUUUUAUAUUAAAGCUACGGUGGUGAAAGAUGAGUAUGCGUUCUAUUAGCUAGUUGGAGAGGUAACGGCUCCCCAAGGCGACGAUAGAUAGGGGUUCUGAGAGGGAUGUCCCCCACACUGGUACUGAGAUACGGACCAGACUCCUACGGGAGGCAGCAGUGAGGAAUAUUGGACAAUGGUCGGAAGACUGAUCCAGCCAUGCCGCGUGCAGGAUGAAGGUCCUAUGGAUUGUAAACUGCUUUUGUAAGGGAAGAAUAAGGAGUACGUGUACUUUGAUGACGGUACCUUACGAAUAAGCAUCGGCUAACUCCGUGCCAGCAGCCGCGGUAAUACGGAGGAUGCGAGCGUUAUCCGGAUUUAUUGGGUUUAAAGGGUGCGUAGGCGGCCUGUUAAGUCAGCGGUGAAAUCUAGGAGCUUAACUCCUAAAUUGCCAUUGAUACUGGCGGGCUUGAGUGUAGAUGAGGUAGGCGGAAUGCGUGGUGUAGCGGUGGAAUGCAUAGAUAUCACGCAGAACUCCGAUUGCGAAGGCAGCUUACUAAGGUACAACUGACGCUGAAGCACGAAAGCGUGGGUAUCAAACAGGAUUAGAUACCCUGGUAGUCCACGCUGUAAACGAUGCUAACUCGUUUUUGGUUUUUAGGAAUCAGAGACUAAGCGAAAGUGAUAAGUUAGCCACCUGGGGAGUACGCUCGCAAGAGUGAAACUCAAAGGAAUUGACGGGGGCCCGCACAAGCGGUGGAUUAUGUGGUUUAAUUCGAUGAUACGCGAGGAACCUUACCAAGACUUAAAUGGGAAUUGACAGCUGUAGAAAUACGGUUUUCUUCGGACAAUUUUCAAGGUGCUGCAUGGUUGUCGUCAGCUCGUGCCGUGAGGUGUUAGGUUAAGUCCUGCAACGAGCGCAACCCCUGUCACUAGUUGCCAUCAUUAAGUUGGGGACUCUAGUGAGACUGCCUGCGCAAGCAGUGAGGAAGGUGGGGAUGACGUCAAAUCAUCACGGCCCUUACGUCUUGGGCCACACACGUAAUACAAUGGCCAGUACAGAGGGCAGCUACUAUGUGAAUAGAUGCGAAUCUCGAAAGCUGGUCUCAGUUCGGAUUGGAGUCUGCAACUCGACUCUAUGAAGCUGGAAUCGCUAGUAAUCGCGCAUCAGCCAUGGCGCGGUGAAUACGUUCCCGGGCCUUGUA
rnacentral:rRNA from 1 species